rnacentral:rRNA from 1 species
CCUACGGGCGGCAGCAGUGGGGAAUAUUGCACAAUGGGCGCAAGCCUGAUGCAGCCAUGCCGCGUGUGUGAAGAAGGCCUUCGGGUUGUAAAGCACUUUCAGCGGGGAGGAAGGCGGUGAGGUUAAUAACCUCAUCGAUUGACGUUACCCGCAGAAGAAGCACCGGCUAACUCCGUGCCAGCAGCCGCGGUAAUACGGAGGGUGCAAGCGUUAAUCGGAAUUACUGGGCGUAAAGCGCACGCAGGCGGUCUGUCAAGUCGGAUGUGAAAUCCCCGGGCUCAACCUGGGAACUGCAUUCGAAACUGGCAGGCUAGAGGCUUGUAGAGGGGGGUAGAAUUCCAGGUGUAGCGGUGAAAUGCGUAGAGAUCUGGAGGAAUACCGGUGGCGAAGGCGGCCCCCUGGACAAAGACUGACGCUCAGGUGCGAAAGCGUGGGGAGCAAACAGGAUUAGAUACCCGAGUAGUC